GUUUAUAUGCUGAGACGAACUUCAAAGAAACUUUUUUGGCAACAGUUUGCAAGAGGUCUAUAUUGAGAUGCAUUUCUUUGGCGCAAUACUAGACAACAUUGGUAGUUGAAGUUUUUAGAAUAAAAAAUAUAUUUCACUAACUUUGUAUACAUUUCUUGUUUAAUAUUUGGUGAUAAUAGAAUUUGAUUGUAGUAUAAA